UACGGAGGGUGCGAGCGUUUAUCGUAAUUACCGGGCGUGUAGCGUGCGCAGGCGGCUUUGCAAGACAGAUGUGAAAUCCCCGGGCUCAACCUGGGAACUGCAUUUGUGACUGCAAGGCUAGAGUACGGCAGAGGGGGAUGGAAUUCCGCGUGUAGCAGUGAAAUGCGUAGAUAUGCGGAGGAACACCAAUGGCGAAGGCAAUCCCCUGGGCCUGUACUGACGCUCAUGCACGAAAGCGUGGGGAGCAAACAGG
rnacentral:rRNA from 1 species